GUUUCUGUAGUUGAAGUACAACAAUGGCUUUUCGAGCCAUAAUUCCUGGUUAGAGCCCUGGCAGAAAUU
rnacentral:tRNA from 1 species